rnacentral:rRNA from 1 species
UAGAUGCGAGAGUAGAGCAUAUCAAUAAGCGGAGGAAAAGAAACUAACAAGGAUUCCCUUAGUAACGGCGAGUGAAGCGGGAAGAGCUCAAAUUUGAAAUCUUCAAGGUUCUACCUUGACGAAUUGUAGUUUAAAGAAGUGUUUUCUGUUAGAUGAGUAGCAAAAGUUCCUUGGAAUGGGACAUCAUAGAGGGUGAGAAUCCCGUAUUUGGUUAUUCAUUCUAGCUUUGUGAUACACUUUCAAAGAGUCGGAUUGUUUGGGAAUGCAGUCCAAAAUGGGUGGUAAAUUUCAUCUAAAGCUAAAUAUUGGCGAGAGACCGAUAGCGAACAAGUACUGUGAGGGAAAGAUGAAAAGAACUUUGAAAAGAGAGUUAGACAGUACGUGAAAUUGUCAAAAGGGAAGCGUUUGACACCAGUGUUGUUUUUCCGAAAAUCAAUUACGAAUGGCUUGAUUUUGUGUUGUAUUGACCUUAUCAGCUUUCUGCACUUUUUUCGAGUCUUUCUUAAUGCACUUUUCGGUUAACAAGUCAACAUCAAUUUCUUUUGUUGUAAAAGAGUAUUCGGAAGGUGGCUUUCUUUUCGGAGAAAGUGUUUAUAGCCCUAUACUUCUACAAUCGGAGAGAUUGAGGUCUGCAGCGUAGAUCCUUCGGGGUUAGAUACACUUGUGCUAAGUUGUAGCUUUUCAUAGACAACUUGUUGACUAUGUUUAGUCAUGCGGCUUACUCGCUUGUGCUAUUUUACCUACGCUUAGGAUGUUGAGCGCAUGUCUCUCUCU